rnacentral:rRNA from 1 species
UUCUCCCAUCCCCUAGAGGGAGUAAGACCCCUGGUAGACCACCAGGUUGAUAGGCCGGAUCUGGAAGGACGGUAACGUCCGUAGGAGACCGGUACUAAUGGGUCGAGGGCUUGACGGA